rnacentral:rRNA from 1 species
CCCUUAGACGUUCUGGGCCGCACGCGCGCUACACUGACGAAGGCAACGAGCUUUCCUUUACCGAAAGGUACGGGUAAUCUUUUGAAACUUCGUCGUGCUGGGGAUAGAUCCUUGCAAUUUUUGAUCUUAAACGAGGAAUUCCUAGUAAGCGCAAGUCAUCAACUUGCGUUGAUUACGUCCCUGCCCUUUGUACACACCGCCCGUCGCUCCUACCGAUGAAUCGUCCGGUGAAGUUCAUGGAGGGGCGGUUGUUUCAACUGCCGUUGAAGUGAAAUGGACCUCACGAUUUAGAGGAAGGAGAAGUCGUAACA